CCUACGGGGGGCAGCAGUGGGGAAUAUUGCACAAUGGGGGGAACCCUGAUGCAGCGACGCCGCGUGAGUGAAGAAGUAUUUCGGUAUGUAAAGCUCUAUCAGCAGGGAAGAAAAUGACGGUACCUGACUAAGAAGCCCCGGCUAACUACGUGCCAGCAGCCGCGGUAAUACGUAGGGGGCAAGCGUUAUCCGGAUUUACUGGGUGUAAAGGGAGCGUAGACGGUUAUGCAAGUCUGAAGUGAAAGCCCAAGGCUCAACCAUGGGACUGCUUUGGAAACUGUAAAACUGGAGUGCAGGAGAGGUAAGCGGAAUUCCUAGUGUAGCGGUGAAAUGCGUAGAUAUUAGGAGGAACACCAGUGGCGAAGGCGGCAUACCGGCGCUCAACUGACGCUGAGGCACGAAAGCGUGGGGAUCGAACAGGAUUAGAUACCCGUGUAGUC
rnacentral:rRNA from 1 species